rnacentral:ribozyme from 11 species
ACUCGCAUAGACAGUCAGAGAAAAAAAGAAAGAGAAGAAAGGAAGGAUGGAUCGAAGAGGAUCGUUCCUUUUGUUUUGUGCCUUUCUCUAUUUUUCUUUCGACAGACAUCUUUCUUCUCGCUUC